GCUCACGGUUAGCAUACAAUAAAAUUGGAAUGACACACAGAAGAUUAGCAUGGCUCUGCACAAACAUAAUAUGCACAAAUUGAAAAAUGACUCAAAACAUUUUU